AAGAGCGAGAAGGGAGAGUGAAAGAAGAGGAUAGAGAUUUUCUUUCUACUUCAAAAUACAUCUUUCCAGUCACUUUGGUCCCCUGGUUCGUGAUGCAGAGUCCUUCAUUCAGUUUCCAGUGCAACCCUUUCUGAUGAAUUCACCCCCGAGUCACUUUUACUAUCAUGGGAUCCUUACUAUCAUGGGAUCCACCAUAUUAAAAUGGCGCUUAGGAGCUGGGUGAGGCAGUGAGGAGGACGACAAUGGAAAGACUGAGCAGCAAGAAGAGAGGAGGGUGAGGUGGUAACCCACAUGGCUGAGGGGAGAAAGUUAACUGAACUGCCUUGGAAAUAGGCUCCACAUUAUUUUUGGAUCAAGCCUUAGUGUUCUAUCUCGUGUUUGACAGAGCGGAUUAUGUUUUAACUUUUCUUCCUCUACAUGACAAAGUUAUUUUGAGGAAUAAUCAUGAAAUGAAACAAAUAAUUAAUGGCCAGGAAACUUUAAAUAGUGAAUAUUUUCUUUUACUGACCCUUAUAUGGUCAUGUCAGUAAAAAUAAAUAAAUAAAAAUAAAGAUGCCAUUUCAGAUUAGGAAAA